rnacentral:tRNA from 1 species
GGGGAUUUAGCUCAGUGUAUAAGCACCUGCCUUACAAGCAAGUGGUUGUGAAUUCAAUCCCCU